GACGAACGCUGGCGGCGUGCUUAACACAUGCAAGUCGAACGAGUGGCGAGCGGGUGAGUAACACGCGGGUGACCUGCCCUGCACUUCGGGAUAAGCCUGGGAAACUGGGUAUAAUACCGGAUAGUGUGGGAUGGGUCCGGGGCCUAUCGGCUUGUUGGUGGGGUAAUGGCUACCAAGGCGCGACGGGUAGCCGGCCUGUGAGGGUGGACGGCCACAUGGGGACUGGGACACGGCCCAGACUCCUACGGGAGGCAGCGGUGGGGAAUAUUGCACAAUGGGCGGAAGCCUGAUGCAGCGAGGCCGCGUGGGGGAUGACGGCCUUCGGGUUGUAAAGUACUUUCAGCGGGGAGGCGUUACCCGCAGAAGAAGCACCGGCUAACUCCGUGCCAGCAGCCGCGGUAAUAC
rnacentral:rRNA from 1 species